rnacentral:ncRNA from 1 species
UAACACUUGCGGUGUGGUCCAUAUCGGUUAGGUUUGAUGUGGAUGAGAAGGUCGGAUAAAGGCCACUAAGUUAAGCCGAGGAAGUGAGUUUGUGAAGUGCCGCGAUUCAAUCACUCCUCGGUUUUGCUAA